rnacentral:lncRNA from 1 species
CCAAGUUUUUAAUUGAUGAAUUUGGAGCUCAGCACAGAAUCGAUAACAAAUGUAAAGUUUUAAUAUUCCUAUACUAUAUUUAAUUUUAAUCAACGGAAGUUACUCAUCAGCAGCUAGACAAGUUUGAAUGAUUAUCUCUUAUAUAAAUAUCAUACUUCUCAAGAAAAGCGACACCUGAAAAAAUUCUGCGGCUGUGUGAUCGGGAAUUGAACCCGGAUUAUCCAGAAUAGAAGUAUGUAUAUUUCUAUCCUGGCUAAUUCAAUUCGAUUUCAGAUCUCGCACUUCCAGAUUUUUUAAUUGGCGGUUCGGGCUUAGUCCUUUGAAACUUUCACCUUAAAGUUGGCCAUCGUGAAUAUAAGUAGCCCUCUUAGUGAAUGGUAGGCUUUUGGACUAAUCCCUUCGCUUGUAUUUAAAAGGAUUUGAAAAUGGCAUAAAAUCUAGAAAGAAAUUUAUUUAUUUUUUCGUUAAAAAAGAUGAAUAUCUUUAUUUCUAGAAAGUAAUAAAUUCCACCCUGUAGAGCGAAACUAGCAUUACUAUAGACUACCAUCCCUGCUAAGAAGUCAGCAGAUUGAAGAUCGAUGGCCGGACUUAGAUUCCUUUAACAAAUUUUUCAAGAAUAGAAUCAAACUUAGUUUACCUGGAUGGAAAGUUGAAGCAUAUUCACAUGACUAAUCUGGCAAACACAUUCUAUCUGCUGUAUUUGAUAAUCCAGUUCAUGUUACCUGAAUUUAAGAAAAUGCGAAAAGUUUGAUCGUCCAUCAUUUUUAAAUGGAUGAAUCUGUAUGUUAAAACAUGCACUGUCGAACUCACUUUUGGUAAUAGAACCAUCGGCCAGAUGGUCGCUUGUUAACGCAAUUGCUUAACAUCUUGGAGGAUCUGGAUUCAAUUUCGAUCCCACUCCUCUACCUUUUCAAGAAGGGUUCACGCCUGAAAAAGUGAAUGUAUGAUCCCAUCUUUUAACCGGUUGACCCCAUUAUGGAUGCUGGCCAAUUAUGUGAGUUCUAAGAACGGUAGCCCUAAAUUUAUGCUUUAAGUGAUUUGAUGCUGUAGUUCAAAAUAACCUUAGUAGUAGGAAGCAUCCUACAGAAUUCAAUAAAAGUCUGAACUAAUUAGUUGAGAAGUUUAGGUUAAUUUUAAUUAUGCCGCCAAAUUCCGUAUGGGAAACUUUGGACGGUGGUUGUUUUAAAGCCCAUCACAUAUUGGCUAUCACUUAUGAUAGAAUCAACCGGAAGAUUGAAAGAUAGGGACUCGGAUCCUCCGUGAUAAGCGAUUUCUUUAACAACGUCCGUCUAACCGACUUAAAAAUUAAUAAUGAUAUUUCAACAAAUGAGCAAUGAUGAUCUUGCGCUUCAAUUUUCUUUGAAAAGUAGAUUUAAAAAAUAUAGAUCUAUUAACAAAGAAGUUUACGAUGGAUAAUAAUCAGGAGAAAAUGCAAUGAGUCUAAAUCAAAACAUUAAACAUAAGCGGCGGAUGGCCGAAUGGCAACGCAUUGGCGUGGCACGAAGGAGGACCCAAGUUCGCUUCCCGGGUCCGGCAUCUCCUGGAAAGAUCUUUCGGGAUUCCGGGCCCAGCCCGGAGAUCUCCGUCCGUCAUCAUCUGGCUCUCUUGUACUGGUGUGGAUGCAGCCUAUGGUUAGAACUGGCUCCGCCCCUUAGUAAUCUCCCUGAUUGGAAAGGACCGUAAGAAAGAAAAGGGUGGAAAAACAUGAAACAUAGAUCAUAUGAAU